UACGUAGGGGGCAAGCGUUGUCCGGAUUUAUUGGGCGUAAAGAGCUCGUAGGCGGUUCGGUAAGUCGGGUGUGAAACCUCCAGGCUCAACCUGGAGACGCCACCUGAUACUGCUGUGACUCGAGUCCGGUAGGGGAGCGUGGAAUUCCUGGUGUAGCGGUGAAAUGCGCAGAUAUCAGGAGGAACACCAGCGGCGAAGGCGGCGCUCUGGGCCGGAACUGACGCUGAGGAGCGAAAGCGUGGGUAGCAAACAGG
rnacentral:rRNA from 1 species